rnacentral:rRNA from 1 species
AGAGUUUGAUCCUGGCUCAGGACGAACGCUGGCGGCGUGCUUAACACAUGCAAGUCGAACGAAUAUCUAUCUUCGGAUAGUGAAGAGUGGCGAACGGGUGAGUAACACGUGGGCAAUCUGCCCCUCACAUCAGGACAACCUCGGGAAACUGGGGCUAAUACUGAAUACCCAAUCAUACAGGCAUCUGUUUGAUUGGAAAGGAUUCUGGUGAGGGAUGAGCCCGCGGCCUAUCAGCUUGUUGGUGGGGUAAUGGCCUACCAAGGCGACGACGGGUAACCGGCCUGAGAGGGCGACCGGUCACACUGGGACUGAGACAGGGCCCAGACUCCUACGGGAGGCAGCAGUGGGGAAUAUUGCGCAAUGGACGAAAGUCUGACGCAGCAACGCCGCGUGAGGGAUGAAGUACAUAGAGAUGUAAACCUCUUUCAGCAGGGACGAAGCUAACGUGACGGUACCUGCAGAAGAAGCACCGGCUAACUACGUGCCAGCAGCCGCGGUAAUACGUAGGGUGCAAGCGUUGUCCGGAUUUAUUGGGCGUAAAGGGCUCGUAGGCUGUCUGUCGCGUCGGAUGUGAAAACUCGGAGCUUAACUCCGGGCCUGCAUUCGAUACGGGCAGACUAGAGUUCGGUAGGGGAGAUUGGAAUUCCUGGUGUAGCGGUGGAAUGCGCAGAUAUCAGGAGGAACACCGAUGGCGAAGGCAGAUCUCUGGGCCGAUACUGACGCUGAGGAGCGAAAGCAUGGGGAGCAAACAGGAUUAGAUACCCUGGUAGUCCAUGCCGUAAACGGUGGGCGCUAGGUGUGGGGAGCAGUUUACGCUUUCCGCGCCGCAGCUAACGCAUCAAGCGCCCCGCCUGGGGAGUACGGCCGCAAGGCUAAAACUCAAAGGAAUUGACGGGGGCCCGCACAAGCGGCGGAGCAUGCGGCUUAAUUCGAUGCAACGCGAAGAACCUUACCUAGACUUGACAUAUACCGUUUACCUUCAGAAAUGUUGGGUCCUUCGGGGCGGUAUACAGGUGGUGCAUGGCUGUCGUCAGCUCGUGUCGUGAGAUGUUGGGUUAAGUCCCGCAACGAGCGCAACCCUUAUUCUAUGUUGCCAGCGCGUAAUGGCGGGGACUCAUAGGAGACUGCCGGGGUCAACUCGGAGGAAGGUGGGGACGACGUCAAGUCAUCAUGCCCCUUAUGUCUAGGGCUGCACGCAUGCUACAAUGGCCGGUACAGAGGGCUGCAAAACCGCAAGGUUGAGCGAAUCCCACAAGGCCGGUCUCAGUUCGGAUUGGGGUCUGCAACUCGACCCCAUGAAGUCGGAGUCGCUAGUAUCGCAGAUCAGCAACGCUGCGGUGAAUACGUUCCCGGGCCUUGUACACACCGCCCGUCACGUCACGAAAGUCGGUAACACCCGAAGCCGGUGGCCUAACCCUUGUGGAGGGAGCCGUCGAAGGUGGGGCUGGCGAUUGGGACGAAGUCGUAACAAGGUA